GAGACUCUGUGCGCGUGCAUAUCAAUAAGCGGAGGAAAAGAAACUAACAAGGAUUCCCUAGUAACGGCGAGUGAAGCGGGAAGAGCUCAAAUUUGAAAUCUUAAAGGGUUUCCCUUGACGAAUUGUAGUUUAAAGAAGUGUUUUCUGUUGGAGUUUUGGUAAAAGUUCUUUGGAAUAGGACAUCAUAGAGGGUGAGAAUCCCGUAUUUGACCAUUAUUUCAACUGUGUGAUACACUUUCAAAGAUGUCGGAUUGUUUGGGAAUGCAGUCCAAAAUGGGUGGUAAAUUUCAUCUAAAGCUAAAUAUUGGCGAGAGACCGAUAGCGAACAAGUACCGUGAGGGAAAGAUGAAAAGAACUUUGAAAAGAGAGUUAAACAGUACGUGAAAUUGUCAAAGGGAAGCGUUUGACACCAGUGUUGUUUAGUUGAAAAUCAAUUCAAUAGUUUUUGAUUCUAAGUAGUAUUGACUUCAUCAGCUUGCUGCUUUCUUCUCAGAAAUUAUUGAAUGCACUUUUCAGUUAACAAGUCAACAUCAAUUUCUUUUGUUGUAAAAGGGUAAGAGGAAGGUGGCUUGCGCUUCGGCUCAAGUGUUUAUAGCCUUUUAUCUCUGCAAUCGGAGAGAUUGAGGUCUGCAGCGUAGAUCCUUCGGGGUUAGAUACAUUGGUGCUAAGCUAUAGCCUUGUAUAGACAACUUGUUGACUAUGCUCAGUCAUGUAGCUUACUCGCUGAUGCUAUUUUACCUACGCUUAGGAUGUUGACAGCAGUAUAGACUGU
rnacentral:rRNA from 1 species